rnacentral:rRNA from 1 species
AGAGUUUGAUCAUGGCUCAGAAUCAACGCUGGCGGCGUGCCUAACACAUGCAAGUCGAACGCGAAAGGGACUUCGGUCCUGAGUAGAGUGGCGAACGGGUGAGUAACACGUGGGUGAUCUACCUCUGAGUGGGGGAUAACGUUCCGAAAGGAGCGCUAAUACCGCAUGACGUCCUGGGUUUGAAGACCUGGAAACCAAAGUCGGGGACCGCAAGGCCUGACGCUUGGAGAGGAGCCCGCGCCUGAUUAGCUAGUUGGUGGGGUAAUGGCCUACCAAGGCGACGAUCAGUAGCCGGCCUGAGAGGGCGGACGGCCACACUGGGACUGAGACACGGCCCAGACUCCUACGGGAGGCAGCAGUGGGGAAUUGUUCGCAAUGGGCGCAAGCCUGACGACGCAACGCCGCGUGGAGGAUGAAGGUCUUCGGAUUGUAAACUCCUGUUGAUCGGGAAGCAAAGGACUCCGGGUUAAUACUCCGGGGUAUUGACGGUACCGAUUGAGGAAGCCACGGGUUAACUCUGUGCCAGCAGCCGCGGGUAAUUACAGAAGGUG